GCUAAUGACUAGUGACUUGUUCUAUAGGAUGCAAUUUAACGAUGCGGAAAAGUUGAAGGCACCCGUUGGAUUCAUUAAUCCACAACGAAUUUUCCAGCCUAACAUGGUUGUGAACUUGAGGACUGAUGACCCCAAGAUUAAGGGGAAGAGUAACAAGGAGAAAUCAAGGGUCAUAAGAGAAAUGACCAAAACACGUAGGCUUGAAAUGUCAACCUAUAUAAGAAGAGCUAUUCUAGAAAUGCAGGAGAAGGACUACAUCUUGGCUCCCUACAACUUUAAGUAAGUGUGAUACAUCAUGAACCUAACAUAAGUAUUCAACUUAAUUGAUCGAUCAAGAAUCUAACAUAAGUAUUCAUGUAGCGACCACUAUAUCUGUAUAAUGCUGAUGCCGAAGUCGAGCAAAAUUGUGGUCCUUAACUCAGCCAAUCUUCAACAAAAAUCCUACCAAGAUUUCAUUAACGUUAUACAGAGGUAAAGGAAAUCUCCAUACAUAAAAUUCAUAUAAAUCAUUUAUGAAUUGAUAAUUACUUAUUGGCAUUCGAAUAGGGCAUUCAAGUGGUACGUAAUGAAAGGUGGAAUACAGAUACAGACAAGUUGGAUGCGAUGACGGUUCGUACACACUUUUCGUGCCACAAGCAAGGUUUCAAUAGCGUUUUUUGUGGAUACUAUGUUUGCCAAUUUCUUAGGGUAAACGGGAGGUACACAACGAACCCUAAGGACGCACGGAUGAUCAAAUGUACCAACCAAUCUCUCACAUAUGAAGAUAUCCAAAACAUCCAAUGUGACAUGUGCCGAUUUAUUAUGCAUGAAGUCAUCCACAAGAGUGGCAAAUUCUUUGAUCACGGAGGUGAAUUAGCUAGCCAUCCGAGGCUUUGUGAGUGGGAGAGAAAGACUCUUAACA